CCUCAAGUGAUCUGCCUGCCUUGGCUUCCCAAAGUGCUUGGAUUACAGGCAUGAGCCACCAUGCCCAACCACCAUUGGCAUUGGUGAAAUUCAACAGAACUGCUUUACAGUGAAGGUCUUGAAGCCCACAAGAAACAUUCUUCUGGACAAAUUAUCGGGAGGUCAAGAGAAGAAUGCAUUUGCCAGACCAAUAGCUGCAUAUCAAGUGCCAGAGGAUGUGGUAAAUUGCUCAAGCAAUGAAACCGGUUCUGGUACCGGAGCUGCAAUUGGCAUCACCACCUGGAGAUUUACCAUAGAGUAUCACAGAGCUCUUCAAGGAUGCUGGGGCUCCCCUCACAAAAUUGUUUCUUACAGUCACAAUGCAAGGUUAGUCUGUUUAAAAUUAGAACCUGAGCUCAUCUCAAGAAGUAUGCUUACCACUUUAGGGCAAAGCAAACAAUGA
rnacentral:lncRNA from 13 species